UUAAAUUUUGUUUGUGACAUUCACAAUAUAAUACUCAAAAAGUGGAUUGAACGGCAACGACGAAAAAUCAAGAAAACUUGCUUCUUCGCCGCCUCCACUAUUACCGCUAGGAAAUAGUAGAGAACUUUGGAAGAAACUACUCCAUUUGCAUUGAUGUACAAAACAAAUUGAGUAGCCUCAGCUAAAGUUGAAGUGGUUCACGUGUAAGUUGUUAAAUAGACGUGUUAAUGAUCCUUCCGCAGGUUCACCUACGGAAA
rnacentral:misc_RNA from 1 species